ensembl:lncRNA
CGCACAGCAGGUGCCCACUCCUUUUGAGACAAAGCAAAAGAAGAUAAUUAUAAUAUGUGAUACAUCUCUGCAUGAACAUCUUGACACAAUAGAAAGAGCAAAGUCAUGGCGUUUGGUAUCAACAGUCAAUAGUUGGCGGGUAAACAUCAUACUUUGCAUUACUUACAUUAAAGUAAAAUAAGUCAAAUCUUUCACACGGCGGCUGAUGUUUUAAAGCGUGAUAAUGUCAAUUGCGAGGAAUGUUCUGUGCAGCCAUGACGAGGUGGACAUGGACUCUCUCACAAAGUCUUCUACGUCCCACACAGGGUUCCCUCUGCUCAGCAGACCCUCAGUUAUGCAACACUGGAGCCCCAAACAGCCGUUACCAGUGGGGGGUCCGUAAGAGUCAGCUGCUCUUCUCCCAGUCCAGCACCACCCAAACCAGCUCAGAAGCUCCAUCUAUCCAAGACUCGGACUUCAAAAUCAUUGUCCUCCAAAAGUAAGCCAUCAGCAUGCCCCACUGAUGAGACUCCGAAGACUUCAAGGACAUCCAUCAAGACACCAACCUCCACGUCACAAAAGCCCAAUUGCCCCCCCAAUGUCUAUAACUCAAAACCUGACUAUGGAUCAAUACAACAUGUGUCCUCUCCCUCAUCAGCACAUUCCCAAAGAGAGAUUCCUAAAUCUUCACCCUCGCCUGUCUCGUUUCCGCCUGAUGUUUCUCCUUUUACUAGAACCAGAUCUCCAAUCCCAGAAGAGCAUCUCUCCCCUUCUCCAUCCAUGUCCUCCUCCCUCAGAUCUACGUUCACAGUCUCACCGUCAAGCUCCACUGAAUCAACCUUAUUGCCCAACAUUUACCAAUCUACGCUAUUACAGAAAGGCUCAGACCUGUCUCUGUUACCAGAGCCGCCCCAAUCAUCCCAGUUAUUCCCACAACCAAUCUCAUCACUGGAGAUUUCCCAAUUGCCCCCAAGGCAAUCCCAACAAUCGUGCUGUGACCCAGAGUCUCUGCUAUCAGACAAUCAGCUCCAGCUGCCUCGGUCACCUGCGUUGUCUUCCAGUCCAACCCCCCCACCAAAAUAUGUGACACCAAGUCCACCUGUAAAGAAACUAUCCAGUGUGUCUGUAUUUAACGAGUCCCCUCUACAUGCAUAUUGUAGUCAUGAGUCAACUUUAACAGAGGAUUCUUCAGUUUGUAUGUCCUCCACCGACAUCUCUGGUGACCACGAGUCCACUCAGGAUACGCGGUGUAUCCCGCCACUUCCAUCGCAUUUCUCACAUGGCAUCCAGAAUCCUCCUUUAGAUGUAGGAAUGGAGGAGGAAGAGGAGGAAGAGGAGCUAUCGAUAGACAGCGGGGAUGAAAUGUCCAGCGACAGCCUGGGUCUGGCUCCGCACGAGGAAGACUCUUCAGACGAAGAAGCACAGACGCACGCACGUUUAACGAGCGGGAGAUCCGGAGAAGAAAAGCGAUGGAAUCCUGCCUCAUCUCAGACCGAAGAUCUCUUUGUUCCUGAAGAUGCAGACAGAGAAGAAGAGUUGCAGACGGAUGAGCGAGAACAGCCGUCAGAUCCAUCCACGGUGAUGCGCCACCAGAGUGCUGGGUCUCCAUCAGAGCGGUUCUGUGAUCCGGAAGGGUUUCCGCCUCAGGGUUUGGACAGGACUUCUGGUCUCUCCGACACACAAGAACACACACGUUGUGACCCCCCGCUGCACACAUGCCGAGCUCCCCCGCGUGAUUCAGAGCCAACAGGGUCAGAGGGUUAUGGACCCAGCCGCAGCCUCAGUACCUACACUAAGGAACAUCUGGAUUCUGGACUGAUAAAGGACAACCACACGCAGCCAACUGGAAUUCAAAUUCACUUAACCAGACCCACCAGGAGAGAAGAAAUAUCAGCAAAUGAACUAGGAACAUCUGGUGUGUGUGUGUGUGUGUGUGUGUGUGCGCUCACAUGCACGCUUGAAUGCAUUUUGUCUGUGUGAACACUAUCAAGCUCGCUGAGCUCUACUUCUUGCUUACACACAAAACUCCAUUUCACACACAAUCAAUGCACCUCAUUUCUGCAUAUAGACACUCUUUCUUGGAACGGAGUACGCAGGUUUCUUAAAGAGAUUAUACCGUAUCAC